AGUGUCCCUGUGGAGGAGGUUCAGAGGAUAAGAGGAAAGGCGGGGCAGCAUGGAGUUCAGGGGCCAAGAAGGACAGGACACUGCCUGGAUGCCCGCGGGGCUGAGGUGAGGAAGGACCCGGUCUCUGCAGGGCACCUGGGUGUGCAGGGUGGGCAGAGCCAGGCGGGUUUCCAGCCUCAGCAGUGUGGGACCAGAGUUCAGCUCAGUCUUGAGGAAACUGCAAUCAGUGUGUCCCCCCACCCUGUGACCUGGGGAUUGAACCUGGCACUCUACCCCGGAGCCACUCCCCCAGUCCUGCUUAUUUUAUGCCCAGGCUGGCCCUGAACUGAAUGACCCUCCCACUACAGCCUCCCGAGUGACCGGGAACACAGGCUUGUGCCACCGUGCUUGGCAGCAAAGGUACUUGUCAACGUAUUGCCACUGGAGAGUCAUAAAGGCUCGUGGACAUGCCCCAUGCAGUGAGCUGACACCAGUGUGUCAAGGAAAAGUGACAGGAAAGUCCAGGGUCACCUGGGACUGCUGCUGAAGUUGGGGCUGCGGUUGGGACACAGGCCUCGCCCCCUGAGGGCCCCAUAGCAGCAGCAUCCGCUGCUGGGAGCAGAAGUGGCAGCACUUCCACAUGGGCCCGCGUGAGGCAGCUUGGCUGAGGGAACUGUCCUGGCUCCCGGUGCCCAGGCAUGAGGACAGAAGCCCUGUGAGUAGCAAGGGCACCACAAGGGUUUUAGGCCCCAGGAGCCUCAGCUAUGAAACGCUCAUUGGGACCAAGCAAUGAGUAAAGGUGAGGAGCCUCCCAGUGACCAUGCAGACCCGGAGGGGAAGCAAUGACGUUUUGAGAUGAGGAGAGGACAGUUGCCGAGUCUCCGUGGCUGAAUUGGGUAGCAUGUCAGGCGCAGCUGGAGAGAAGCAGCGGAAGCCAGGUGUGAAACUGCUAGAAAUUCUCAAAAAUUGGUGCAAGACUGUGUCCACAGUUGUCGUUAGUACGACUCCUAUCAAGUUGAAGAGAAACCCACGUGUAUGCAUGUUGUGGAGAACAUGAAAGGAUCCUGGGAACAGAGGAAGAGGCCCCUGCCCGUCCAGGCAUGACCAACAGAGACGAGGUGGCAGGAGAGGGUAGAGCGGUGUGUACCACCCAGGACCGAGCCCAGCAAGGUCACCUGCAAGCAGGAAGGCCAAAUACGUUUUCAGAUGCAUCAAGGUGAGAAUGUCCUGCCAUGUGGGGUUCUGUGGAUGUGCAGACCAAUGGAAGAGCAAGAGCAUUAGCACCAAGAAUCAUGGCCUCAAAACGCAUCAAGCAACGACUGGUAGGAUCAUACCAGGUUUUAAGACAUGCUGAAACGUCAUGGUAGUAAACAUAAAAGAAGGAACAAAAGCAAACUACUAUUUGGGCUUAAAAACAGACCAACAGAGCAUCCGGCAGCUCAGAGGGACCUGGGCUAUGGUAAAGAUGGCAGAACAAACCACAAGCUCUCCACGUGCAGAAAAACGGAGUGGUGGCCCGUCCAGGGCCACACCAAAGCUGGCCCUAGGCCUAAUGAUACAAAGAACAGUUCCCAAGGCUGCUAGGACAGGGUGGUCCAGGACUUGGUAAGCAUGAGUUAGAUAAAGGGUGUCUUUGUUUACGUCAGAGUUAAGAUGAAAACCACACCGAGCGGAAGAAGGCGUCCCACUCGAGCCCAGAGCCGACAGCACCUCAGCUGGACUCCACUAAUGAAGGACGUCGUAGGUAAAGUGGAAGUUAGGUGAGGCGUGAAGGUUCUGCAGAGAGAAGAUGAUGAUCCAGACCAUAGGUGAUUUCCACAGACAAGCAGCGCCACGUGGGUCCAGAACAGAAGUGAGAACACAGAAGAGGGGCCCAAGGCCAACAAGUGAACGGGAAGAAGCAUCAACCGUAAUAAUCAGCCCAAUGCACGUGACAGAACGUGUCACCGCACGCCUCUUGGGCCAGCAGGAAUUAGCUGGUGGAUGCCUGGUGUUGGUGACAGCCAGAGGACGUUGGGUCUCUGGUGCAUCCUGUGAGAGAUGUGCCGUGGUGGACGUGUGGAGAGCUGUCCGACACCAUGGGGCCACAUGAGGUCGCACAUCUCUGAUCAGCCAGAAGUCUCACCCCUGAGUCUGCAAAGAAAGCAGUUCUCAUGCUGGUCCCAAAGCGGCCCACGAGAGAACGUACCUAUAGCCACAUGCGUGAGGACAGCCUGAGUGGGUGGACAGGAGCUGCCCGCCACAGGAGCAGGCCACAGAGUGGAGUGGGAGCAGCCCUUCUGACCCGGGAAGGAGGAAGUACAGACUCCACCUGCUCGGCCACUGCAGCUACCUGGCUUCCCAGCACGUGUGCGGGCAGGAGCUGGGGCCCUGGAGUCAGUCCCCAGAGCAGGGCACUGGGGGAUGUAAAGCCUGGCCCCGGGCACAUCUGGCUUCCCCUGGUGCUUCUGGGCCUAGACUCCAAGACAGUUCUAGACGGUCGUCAGCCACAGGCAGGAAGAGCUUCUGGCCGAGAGCUGGGAAGGGCUCCUGCUUGUCAGGGAGGGGAGGGACCCUGUUGGCUUCUCCAUGUUUUCUCUGCUCUGCUCUUCGAGUCCCAGGCUGGGAGCUGAGCACAGGAGGGAGGGGUGCCCGUUGCCUUUGUGUUUCCUCGGCUGUCUUGGCCCCCGGCCUAGGAGACAGAAUCAGCUACACGAGGUGCACAGCAGAACCAGGAAACUAAACCCCAGUUUCUAAUUGGAAUAGGGAUUCCCCAAGAGCCAGAAAGCACUGGGGAGACACCCAGAGUGUGUGGGAAGCCACCAGAGGACGUGUAUGGACUCCAGGGCCUGCCUACCCUAGAUCCCACCAAACGGCCCAGCAGGAGCCCUCAGAGUUGGCACCCCACACUCAGGCCUGGGGGUGCACGGCCCCAUCACACUGGAAACCAUAGUUAGGACCCCAGUUCAGAGAAAGGGGCUGGCAGUGCAAACCUGGUCAAGCUGACCAUCUGCAAAACCCAAGCAUCGAUUAACAUUCUUCUUAGGAUUCAAAGGGAACCCAGAGCCUCACAACAAGAUAUUCACAGUAUCCAAGAUGCAAUCCAAAAGCAUGCAAUAUAAUAAAAACCUGGGAAAAUCUCAAUAAUCACAAGGGAAAAGACCUUCAUCAGACACUAAGAGGGGACACAGUGACAUUGUCAGAGACUUUACGGUCAGAGACCUUAGCCAUAAUCCAAGAAUAAUGGGGCAAGCGGGAAACUGGAGCAUCUCAACAGAGAACUAGAAGACAUAGAGAAUCCCAGAGCAAGACCAAGUGAGUACAAAGACUCACUAGAGUAGUCGUGAAAGAGACCCCUCCGAUGCAGUCACCCGCUGCU
rnacentral:lncRNA from 1 species